AACGAACGCUGGCGGCAGGCUUAACACAUGCAAGUCGAACGCUCCGCAAGGAGAGUGGCAGACGGGUGAGUAACGCGUGGGGAUCUACCCAGAUCUACGGAACAACAGUUGGAAACGACUGCUAAUACCGUAUACGCCCUACGGGGGAAGGAUUUAUCGGAUUUGGAUGAGCCCGCGUAAGAUUAGCUAGUUGGUGGGGU
rnacentral:rRNA from 1 species